ACCUCCUCUGGGAGAGCGCGUCCUUGCCUGCUCCCCCCCCCCCGGGAGGGGGGGCAGUUAAUGAGGAACCGGGGGCGAAGCGCGGCUCCUUAAAACCGAGGAGGGCUCUGCCCCCUCCCCCAUUUGAUAACAUGCUGGCGGGACCGGGGCGCUGGGCCUGGGGGCUGCUGGGGGCGCGCUGACAGCCUGUUCAUUGAGUCGAGAUUAAAGCUAGUGGAGCGUUUGGCCGAGGAGGCUGCAGCGGCUCUCUGGCCCGUGUCCGAGGCUGCCCUGGGGCUCCGGGGACUCCAGGCCCUGUUGUGCCGCCUGGCUGGGGGAGGGGGUUGUAGCCCCGUAGAACUCUGCGCAGAGCCCUGUGGGCGCUGUUCCUGUGGGGGCUGUUCCUGUGGGCGCUGUUCCUGUGGGCGGGCUCCUUUUCUCCGCUUGAGGAGGGCCCCUGGAGCAGUGCGGGAUAAAAUUUGAAUAUGAUGAACACGGCCUUCGAGAUGAAGGAAAGCAGCCAGUUAAUCAGAACCCCAAACCAAAGAAAACAGUACCAUUCUUUCAGCAAUAUCCCUAUAGAAUAUACUGGAAAAAAGAAUACAAGACCAUUCUCACUAAUGUGCCACCUAGACAAAUAAAUGCAUAUAGACCUUGAAAGUGUGAUGAUGCUUCAGAUAUUGUGGAAGAACAUCUUGCAGGGAAAACUUCAAUUUUACAUAAGAAAGAACCCAAAGAAAAACAAAUUUAACUGAAAAAAGUUCCAUUUCCAUCGAUAUAACAGCUGACUGCAAUGGAGAUGUGAAUGUGAGUCCCACAUUUCCAAAGAAGAAUGAAAACCAUGGUUUCUCUCCUUUUAAGAAACUUUUUGGCCUGAUGAAAGGAGAAUUAAACAGUAACCGCCAUCAGAUAGGCCAUCAGAGCUAUCCUGGCAGCAGAAAAUCUGGGCCCAAGACUCGGGUCAGCAUGGAUGAUAGAGAGCAGAAGACAGAGCCCCUCCCAGGAGCCAGAGCCAUCUGAACAUCCUCAAUGCCUUUGGAGAACUCCAGGAGGGCAGGAGUGCCAAAGAAGGAAAGCCCAAAGUCCUGCCGAGGAGCCUGGCUCAAGGGAGCCCUGGACCAGCCUUGGAGCUGGAGAGGAGCCAUGAGGAAGAAAGGUGGUUUGAGGAUCCCUACGAGAGUGCUUUGGAGCAGAGCCAAGCAGAGAGAUUCCCAGCUAAGAGGCUGGGCCAAGAGAUGGAACGGUUGAAGGCGCCCCGAAAACACAGGAGUGAGGGGCUGGCUGUCGGGAAUUCAGGGAGAAGAAAGGAGGAGGACAGAUGGAGGUCGGCCCCCCUGGAAAAAGCAUCCUUUUUCCUUCCCAAAUUAGCUCACAAGGAAGCUGAUUUUUUUUUUUUUUGGUCCAUCUAUAAUGAAUC